UACGGGAGGCAGCAGUGGGGAAUAUUGCACAAUGGGCGCAAGCCUGAUGCAGCCAUGCCGCGUGUAUGAAAAAGGCCUUCGGGUUGUAAAGUACUUUCAGUCGUGAGGAAGGUGUUAAGGUUAAUAACCUUAGCAAUUGACGUUAGCGACAGAAGAAGCACCGGCUAACUCCGUGCCAGCAGCCGCGGUAAUACGGAGGGUGCGAGCGUUAAUCGGAAUUACUGGGCGUAAAGGGCACGCAGGCGGUUAAUUAAGUUGGAUGUGAAAUCCCCGGGCUUAACCUGGGAAUGGCAUUCAAGACUGGUUAGCUAGAGUCUUGUAGAGGGGGUAGAAUUCCAUGUGUAGCGGUGAGAUGCGUAGAGAUGUGGAGGAAUACCGGUGGCGAAGGCGGCCCCUGGACAAAGACUGACGCUCAUGUGCGAAAGCGUGGGGAGCAAACAGGGAUUAGAUACC
rnacentral:rRNA from 1 species